CUGGGGUGGUUAGCUGGGGUCAUCUUUACAAAGAGCCAACAGGUGAGAGUCCCUUAAGGGCAGGCGUGCCAAGAAACUGAGACACUAAGAGUGCCUAAAAUAUCCCAGAGGCAGCCAUUCGGCGGCCUGGGUGGGCUUCUUCCCAGGCCAGGACCGCACAGGGUCUGGGAUAGAUGGCUCACAGCCAUCAAAACAGAGGACCGAGGGACAUGAGUGAGGAGACGGGGGCAAGACCACAGAAGUGAGGAAGUGUGGUUUGGGCAAGUUGGGGUAACGUGGUUGGUGAGGGGAGGACGCUGGCGUGGGGACCCUGGUGUGAGGACCCUGGUGUGAGGACCCUGGUGUGGGGACCUUGGUGUGGGGACCCCGGUGUGAGGACCCUGGUGUGAGGACCCUGGUGUGGGGACCUUGGUGUGGGGACCCCGGUGUGAGGACCCUGGGGGACCCUGGUGUGGGGACCCUGGUGUGAGGACCCUGGUGUGAGGACCCUGGUGUGAGGACCCUGGUGUGGGGACCCUGGUGUGGGGACCCUGGUGUGAGGACCCUGGUGUGGGGACGCAGGUGUGAGGACCCUGGUGUGGGGACGCAGGUGUGAGGACCCUGGUGUGGGGACCCUGGUGUGGGGACCCCGGUGUGGGGAUGUUGUCUGGGAAAGUUGGUAAGAAGGUGACGGUGAAGGGAUACUUGUCAGUAAUAAUCGUGAGUCAUGAGGAUGAGGGAGUGGGGCACACCUGAGAGGGGUGGUGGUGAGGUGACACUGGUGUGAGCAAGUUGUCCAGGUGACCCUUGGAGGAGACACUGUUGAAGGAACCCUGGAGAGGGGACAUAUCUGAGGGACGCUGGUGAGGAGACAUUGGAAGAGGAGGUUGGUAAGGGAAUGGUGGUCAUGGGACACUGGUGCGAGGUUGCUCAGGGGGAUGGGUUGGUGAAGGAUUGGUGGUGAGCAGACACUGGUGAGGGGAAUUUCAUGAGGGGAUGCUGUGGACUGACGUUGGUGAUGAUGUGGGCAUGCCUGCCAGGAGAUGUUGGCAAGGGGUGCUUCUGGGAGGCACCGGGCAUGGGGCACUCUUGGCUGUGUUGCUCGGGGUGUUGGUGAGGCCGUAUGGGCGGGGAGACAGUGCAUGGGAGCUACUGAGGAGAGGCUGAGUGGAGGUUGGUGUGGCGGAGAUGACGCUGAGGGCAUCUUGAUGAGGGGCCACUGCUGAGAGGAGAGACAGUGGGGGUGCUUCUGACGGGACACUGAUGAGGGCCGUUCAUCCGGGGCCUUGGUGAGGAUGCUGAGCGGAUGACAGCAAGGGGAUAUUGUUUAGGGGUG
rnacentral:lncRNA from 1 species